UAACUGUUGGCCUAAAUUGUCACUAAAAUGCAUCUAGAGUAAGGCUAGGACUGUGUGAGGAUAAUGGUACAAACUGAAUUUUUUUGCAGGAAACUGGUCACCUGGGCAUUCUGCCCUCUGCGUCUGGGGCGUGGACCACUGCGCUGGAAGCGCAAAUAACAGUGUUUCCCAGACUGUUCCUGCGCCUGGAGUUACAUCCAGCAGCCCCGUUUGCAUUGUUUUGCAUUUCCGGACGCUUUUGGGACACUGUAAUGUCCCUAAUGGAAUAAGAUCAUAUAGGAAUGAAAAAUAUAGUAGUUAGCUUAAUAAAUUGCAUAGGUUGGGUAGGGAAAACAAACUGAAUACUAUGGACUAGAUGUAUUAUAAGUUAAUUCAGGAUAGGUAAGAAUAUUGACAGUUGAUCUUGAAAUGUAGUGGACUUUGGGCCACAAGUGUUAGAUUUCUAAUGCUAAAUGUCUAUGAUGAAUAAUAUGUUAAGUUGUGGUCUAUAAGGCUUCCUUAUGUAGGAGUUGGAGCUGGAUUGAAAUUCUAUAUAGAAUUUCACACAACGAUAAGAUGAGGUAUGACCGUACGCUUUAGCCCUGAUAUGAUAGGGAAUUUAGCCGGGUAUGUAAGGGAAUGGUUCGAGACUACUCACCUCGAAUUAUUCCGUAAAAUCAACUCAGACAAAUAAUUGUGUCACACUUUAUUUGCAUUAUACCGAAAAUAAUCGUGAAAUGAAUAUGUAUAUGUUUAUGUAAUUGAUCAACUGUCAGGACAAAGGAUAUUAGUGUCACCCUAAGAUAGGUGGGAUUCACUGAGGCUUUAUGUCUCAUCCCACUCCUUUUUAUUUUUUUCAGAUAAGCAGAUUAAACGAGUCAGGGGUAAGAAGAAACUAAGGAUUGAAGAUGGAAGAUUUUAUUACAUUAGUUUCUUCCUUGCUUUGUUAGAUUAGUCUGAUAGAUAUGUCUGAUGAUUAUUUACCAUUGUGUAAUGGAACUUUCAUUUCCUUGUACCUGAUAUAGAAUUUAGGUACUUGUUUCUUUUGAACAAGCUAUUCUAUAAAUUUUAAUGUAUCUGAACCUCAAUUAUGUAUAUCUUGGUCAAUAUUCUAGACAUUUGACAUUUGGAUGUUACAAGGAGGUCAUUGAACUUAUAUAGUUUUACUGUGCUUAUGUUAUUGAAAAUCAUAAUCCGUUUCCAUGUUGAUAUUUGAAGGUAGGGAAUCCUCUUAUGGAGUUAAAUAUGUUCUCAAUUCAAGAGCAGAGUUCUUAUGGUUCCAUGGACUGAUUUCAAAUUCUGCUUUCAAAUGUUAAGGUGUGUACAUUACUUUGUAAUCGUUUAACAGAACUUUCAUGUUUAUUAAACUUUAUUGUGAGAAUCCUUUAUUUACAUAUGGUGAGAUAGUACUAAUUUCCCAGUCUAUCAUAAUUGUUAAAUGACAAAAGUCAAAUAGUUUUAUUAAUUGCAGAGUAUAUGGCUGUCCCAUUUUAUAUCAAGCAUACUUUUGUUAAUUUUGUUCUACCAUCAAAGAAGAAUUUUGCAGGGUAUAUGUAGUGGUUUACUUUCUUCAUUCCCAACAUGAAUUCUAUUAUAGGGUAAAUAUUAACUUUGAGUUGUUUUGGACCUUAAUUUUAAUGUGAAGGAUGAGAAGCCAACCAACUGGUAGUUUGCAGAAUCUGUUCAGAUGAAGGGGAAACCAAUCACACAUAACACAAAUUGCUAUGUUCUGUUUCUAAAGUCUGAAUGCGAACCCUCUGCGAGACCACCGUGAGACCAUGCAAAAGUUGUUUGCUACCACACCAUUACUAUUUUCAAUCAAUGGCUCCAGUUGUAGUGGGAGAUGUAAUUCCAGACGGAGCUUAAUUUUGUUGCCCUUAUUUGUUGUCAUUUGUGUGUGUGCGCUAUAGGUAACCGAAUAAGAAAAGUCAAGAGAUGGUAGCACUAAUCAAGGAUUAUGAAGCAACAUCAUGUACCAGGGAAUGUUUAGAUAUUUUAAGAACUUAUUUUGCCAUAAUGUUUUGUAUGUUUAACCACUAUACUAAUGUUUAUGUUUUAGUUUUUCAAUGUUUGAACUACAUUGAUUUUUUUUCCGUUUGGAACUUCAAGAUUAUGGAUGUUGUCACUACUUAAUGAAUUAUGGAUGUUAAGUCACUAAAUGAAUUAUAUAAAUGAGAUUAAGUUAUUUAUAUUUA